ACACACACAGGAAGUGUGUUCAGGCAGAAAAGAUACACACAGUGCCCAGCCUCUACUGGCGCCACAGCGGGGUCAUCUGGGGUUCCACGGCAGAAGGGAAUGCGUAGAAACAACAACCCGUACAUGAAAAACCAUGAAUGAACCGCAUACAAAAGCACAAGAUACUGUUAAGCAAAAGAAAAAAGAUCUCAUUUAGACACUUUUGAGAUUCACUGUUGCUCCUGUGCGGCAAAUGACCCGAAUGCACACAAAAGGGGUCCGGCCGGCGUAUCCUCAGAGAGCAUGAGAGCGCCGGUGAUGCAGUGGCGCUGUGUGCUGACAGAGGGGGAACAAAGGUGACGCUUGAUGGAACGAACACUCUUUCCUCAUGACACACAGAUUCCCUCAGCGAGCCGAC
ensembl:lncRNA